rnacentral:rRNA from 1 species
UACGUAGGGUGCGAGCGUUAAUCGGAAUUACUGGGCGUAAAGCGUGCGCAGGCGGUUCGUUGUGUCUGAUGUGAAAGCCCCGGGCUCAACCUGGGAAUGGCAUUGGAAACUGGCGAGCUAGAGUGUGGCAGAGGGGGGUGGAAUUCCGCGUGUAGCAGUGAAAUGCGUAGAUAUCUGGAGGAACACCGGUGGCGAAGGCGGCAUCCUGGACCAACACUGACACUGAGGAGCGAAAGCCAGGGGAGCAAACGGG